AUGCAGCUGACGAGUGCCGAAUAGGACGAAAUGUACAUCAAACUGGAU
rnacentral:hammerhead_ribozyme from 1 species